AAUAAAAACGAGACAAUAAAAAUAGAGAAAAAAAUGAAAUAAUAUAAUAACAAGAAAACAAGGUAAUAAAAAUAAAAACAAUAAAAUAAUAACAAUGACAAAAACAAUGAUGAUAAAAAGACUAAAAUGGAAAAUAAUAGUAAAUAUGAAAAAUGAAAAACAAUAAUGAAAAGACAAAAAUAAAAUAGUAAUAAUGACAUAAUGGAAAAAAAACAAGAUAAUGGUAAAGAUAAAAAUAAAAAUAAAAGAAUGUA
rnacentral:lncRNA from 1 species